rnacentral:tRNA from 1 species
GCUGGUGUGGCUCAAUGGCAGAGCAGCUGAUUUGUAAUCAGCAGAUAUGGGUUCGACUCCCAUCGCUUGCU